GACAACAUUAUUUAUAAUAUUUACAAGUUGCGCAUCGAAAAACAAUUUUACAACCCUAUUUACAAUAUUUACACCACAUUCGAUCACAUUCGAUGUGCACGGCCGAACCCCCUGGCGGGAUUGAUUCGCCGGCGAGCGAACUGUCAGUGAGUGACAACUCGCUGAAACGUCAUGAAUCUGUCAAAUCAAACUGACACAGCAUAUCUAUUGUUUAUUUAUGUUUACGUUAUGCUGUGCAGUGAUGAAGAAUUUUUGAAGUUAAAAGUGCCUUUUUGUGAAUAAAUUUAUCGGUAAGUAGUACGUACGAUUUAUAUAAACAUAUCGAAGACUGAUCUUCGUAUGUGUUUGUGUUUUUUUUUUAGGUGAAUGACUUCAUUCAACCAGGGUUGUUGUGCUAUUUGGCAACAAUCUUUCCGAUGAAAGAUUGGCCAAUAGCGAACCCAUAACGGUUCCGGGACACCGUGAUAAUCAUCUUGCCUCUGCAAGAUGCAAUCAGAUUUGGCCAAUCGUACAAAUUGGGCGAUCCCCUCCCAACAGCUCCACAGGUGGAGUGAGAUGAGGGCAAAUUGAUUUAAUCCCUCGCCUCCCGCUCCGAUCCCGCCAGUGUUGGUAUGGAUCCCCAUAAUAAAUAAGGUAAGUUGGAUCUUUUUAUUGCAUGCUAGCCUUUUUAAACGACUGAUCGGAGUCUUUAAUCCGUCGGUCAAACUCAGCCCCGUGGCAAGAGAUGCUUCUCAGCGUAGCGAACAUCUUCAUGAAUAUGUCCAGCAUACAUUUUGAAAAGUACUUCUCCCGAAUCGUUCCUUUAUAAGCAACUGGAUUUUAUCCAAAAUAUUGUUGGCUACACUUUUUCAAUUUGUUCAAAAAUAAUACCAGCUAUUAUGGCCAUGAAAAUAUAAUCCUAAAACAUCUUUCAGCACACCAUUUAUUCCAUUUCAAUUUCACUAAUGAAUGUUGUUCGAUUUGCAUCCCCGGACCAUUUCAACUGUGAUGCAAAACACACUAUAAACAAUAAUAAUAUCUUUUGUUUGAUUCGGAGCGGGAGAACAAGUUACGAAAAAUGAUUUCGUGUAGCGCUUAAUUUCCCCUGUAGAUUCCUUCCAAUUCAUUUAACCAAAACAAAUAGUAAACAAAACACAUAAUGUUUAUUUUCAUACAAUAACAACGGACGGUAAUGAGCUACCGUCCGUGGACAUGGUGGCUAUUGUCAAACCCCUUGUGA